rnacentral:pre_miRNA from 1 species
CAAAUACUCCCUUCGUCCGGAAAUACUUGUCAUCAAAAUGGAUAAAAGGAAAUGUAUCUAGACGUAUUUUAGUUUUAGAUACAUCUCUUUUUAUCCAUUUUGAUGGCAAGUAUUUUCGGACGGAGGGAGUAUUUA